GACGAACGCUGGCGGCGUGCUUAACACAUGCAAGUCGAACGGGUCUGCCCUGUUUUUUGCGGGGUGGGUCAGUGGCGAACGGGUGAGUAACACGUGAGUAACCUGCCCCUCACUUCUGGAUAACCGCUUGAAAGGGUGGCUAAUACGGGGUGUUCUGGCUGUGCCGCAUGGUGUGGCUGGGAAAGAUUCACUUUUGUGGUGUUUUGGUGGGGGAUGGGCUCGCGGCCUAUCAGCUUGUUGGUGGGGUGAUGGCCUGCCAAGGCUUUGACGGGUAGCCGGCCUGGGAGGGUGGGCGGUCACACUGGGACUGAGAGACGGCCCAGACUCCUGCGGGAGGCAGCAGUGGGGGGUAUUGCACAAUGGGCGGAAGCCUGAUGCAGCGACGUCGCGUGAGGGAUGGAGGCCUUCGGGUUGUGAACCUCUUUCGCCGGUGAAGAAGGUCCUGCUCUUUGUGGUGGGGUUGACGGUAGCCGUGUGAUGAAGCGCCGGCUAACUACGUG
rnacentral:rRNA from 1 species